rnacentral:rRNA from 1 species
UACGGAGGGUGCGAGCGUUGUUCGGAAUCACUGGGCGUAAAGGGCGUGUAGGCGGUCCGCUAAGUCUGAUGUGAAAGCCCGGGGCUCACCCCCGGAAGUGCAUUGGAAACUGGCGGACUCGAGUCCCGGAGAGGAGAGUGGAAUUCCUGGUGUAGCGGUGAAAUGCGUAGAUAUCAGGAGGAACACCGGUGGCGAAGGCGGGUCUCUGGGCCGAUACUGACGCUGAGGAGCGAAAGCGUGGGGAGCGAACAGG